rnacentral:lncRNA from 1 species
GAGUGGGCUCACUGUUUCCCCCAUCUCACCAGGUCUGAUCUGCGCUGUCAGCAGUAGCCAGGGACGGGCCGCCUCAGGGAGAGCAAAUCACGCCUUUGGGAGCUGGGCCGCUCCGGGGGGGCCCCAGGCAGGGCCUGCGAGGACGCCAGAGGCUGCGGGGGCACCGUGCUCAGACCUGGGCCUCACCCGUCCCACCCCCCUCGAUCAUCUGCCAGCUGCGUGGCCUUGACACUCAUCUUCCUGACUCCCAGGACUCUGAGCUGUAACAUGGGGAUAACCCGUCACGCGUUCUGGGGAGAGGUGGUCAGGACAGCGCUGGCCAGAAGGAUCGGUGUGCUGUUAUACCCCCCUCACGCCUCCUGCACCCGGGAAAAUCCAGCCGUUUCCUUUUCCACCGUUUGGAGCCAACGCGGCAUCUUGGAUAAGUCACUUCAUCUCGUGGAGGCCAUGCCAAUGACAGAUGCCGUUGGUGGAAAUAAAGGGGGGGGGGAACGCGUGGGUCUCUGACACCAGCAUCUCCUGCCUGCUGCUCGGCCCACGUGUCCCACCUUUUGAAAAGUCUGUGUUGGGCCACGACCCAGGGCCGAGGGAGCAAUAAUUCUCCACCGGCACGCUGCCUGCCGAGCCGGCCAUAGCUCACACUCCCCGCCUCCCUCCUCUCUGGGAUUUAGAGCCCUACUCAUCAUCUGGCUGAAGUGUCAAGGAUUUCCUUUCCUGCAGGAAAUUAACUUGCAUUUUACACUUUACACCCAUAGAAAUUUAAUCAUCCGCCAUCCCCAGUCUGUCCUGCGUGACAGAGAGAUGGCUGCUGGCCCCACUCCUCUGAAAUACGGCCUUCCCUGUCAAUCCGGGGGGACCGGGAGGCGGGGGGGCUUUGGGCAUCCGCAGAAAGCAGGUCCUUCUAAAUACAUUUCUGAGUCCAAGCCUGAGGAUUUGUUCCCAUAGGAGGAAACUUAGAGGUGGCAGGCAGGAUGAGGGGAAAGGAAGGCUGGGACACGUGUGCUAGAGGGCCACAGGGCAGCCCCAGCUGUCCCCCCAGGGUGUCCCUCCCUCUUCACCUCGGGAGACAGGGGGAUGAGGGCUGUGACUGCACCCCGCCCCAUUAGCUGGUGCAAACUCCCAGCCACGCUCCGCUGUGUGACUCCAAGUCAUUCUUUGCUCACACUGUUGCCUCUCCCAGCCUCUCCUUGAUUGCAUAUUCUUGCUCUGGCGUUGCCUCGCCUAAGGGGGACCGUCUCCCUCAAGUGCCCCAAGUCCCAUCCCCCUCUCUUCCACAUGCCCUAAGUGUGACCCUAUCACAGCCCAGAUCACACUGUGGGAUGGUCCCGGCUUACAGGUCCUGUCUCCUCCCGCUGGCCCAUUAGCCGUCCCAAGACAGAACCAAGGUUUGCCUUCAUCCUGGUGUUUGGAGGGCAGAGGCCUAGGUCCUGUACAGGGGAGAGGGAUUUGAACUAAGACGUGUGUUCACAUGAGUUGAGCUCAGGGCCAUAGGCUCUGAACUCAUGAA